rnacentral:rRNA from 1 species
UAAUACGUAGGGAGCAAGCGUUACUCGGAAUUACUGGGCAUAAAGGGCGUGUAGGCGGAUGCGCAAGUCCGAUGUGAAAGCCCUCGGCUCAACCGAGGAAUGCCACCGGAUACUGCGUGACUAGAGUUCGGGAGGGGAGAGUGGAACUCUUGGUGGAGCGGUGAAAUGCGUAGAUAUCAAGAGGAACGCCGGUGGCGAAAGCGACUCUCUGGCCCGACACUGACGCUGAGGCGCGAAAGCCAGGGGAGCGAACGGGAUUAGAUACCCCGGUAGUCCUGGCCCUAAACGAUGGGCACUAAGUAGAGGUAGCUCCGAUGUUGUCUCUGCUGUAGCUAAUGUGAUAAGUGCCCCGCCUGGGGAGUACGGUCGCAAGGCUG